rnacentral:sRNA from 1 species
GGCAAAAGUUCCCCUAGCCAUGAUCUCAUCAUUUCCUCGCCGACUGCCAUAUGAGUUGAAGUCCUUCCUUUCAACACCACGCUCCUUCAGAUAUCUAGCAGCAGGGCUGUCAGGGUGAAUACUUCCGGCAGGUGAGAUGUGAUCAGUUGUGAUACUGUCACCAAAGUUCAGGAGACAGUAAGCAUCCUUCACAGGCCGUGGGCCAGGAGGGGACAUUGUCAUAUCCUUGAAAUAAGGAGGCUCAUGGAUUGCUAACCUCAGCAAUCUCUUCAGUGGAAGGCCAGAUGUCCCUGAAGUAAACCUCCUUCCCAUCUUUCGAGAUGCCAAUUGGUUCUUUCUCAAAAUCAAUAUUGACCUGUGGCAUAUCUGGCAGUUUAGAAAAUGGGCAGAACUUUUGACAUGCAUUUGAAAUUACAGGCAUAUGUCAAACAAAAUCUGUUAUCUUACCGUGCCAGCAAGGGCAUAGGCCACAACCAAUGGAGGAGAGGCAAGAUAAUUUGCUCUGGUUAAUGCGUGCACACGCCCUUCAAAAUUUCUGUUUCCAGAUAACACGGCAGCAGCGACAAUAUCU